rnacentral:rRNA from 1 species
AAUGAACGUUGGCGGCGUGGAUUAGGCAUGCAAGUCGAACGGGCCGCAAGGCCAGUGGCGGAAGGGUGAGUAAGGCGACGGUAACCAACCCCGGAAAUGGGUAUAGCCGCGGGAAACUGCGGGUAAUCCCCAGCGACGUGUCGAGUCGGCAUCGGCUUGACACCAAAGCUCCGGCGUUCCGGGACGGGGCGGCGUGGUAUUCGCUAGUUGGCGGGGUAACGGCCCACCAAGGCUGCGAUGCCUACCGGGCGUGCGAGCGUGGCCCGGCACACCGGGACUGAGACACUGCCCAGACUCCUACGGGAGGCUGCAGUCGAGAAUCUUCGGCAAUGGGCGCAAGCCUGACCGAGCGACGCCGCGUGGAGGACGAAGGCCUUCGGGUUGUAAACUCCUGUCGAGGGGGAGGAAGGCGCAAGCUUGACCGAUCCCUGGAGGAAGCACGGGCUAAGUUCGUGCCAGCCGCCGCGGUAAGAC